rnacentral:sRNA from 1 species
GGCUGAGGUGGGAGGAUUGCUUAAGCCCAGGAGGUCGAUGAUGCAGUGAGCUAUUGUAGUGCCACUGCACUCCAGCAUGGGCAACAGAGUAAGACCCUGUCUCAAAAAAUAAAAAUAAAAAUAAAUCCAAGCCUUUUGACUCCACAGCCACUCUUUGUAUUGUACGUCAGGGACAGAAGGAGCUUGCCGUUAGUUGCUUCUGGGAACCUAGAUACUAGGUUACACUGUCUUUAAAUUUAAUUUUCUCUGUUCCUUCCUCUUACAGGAUAACUAUAAUGGGAUGAGCUUUGUCUGUAUUGGGGCUAUCUUGGUCUUUGUGGCCUUUUUUGAAAUUGGACCAGGCCCCAUUCCCUGGUUUAUUGUGGCCGAACUCUUCAGCCAGGGCCCCCGCCCAGCUGCGAUGGCAGUGGCCGGCUGCUCCAACUGGACCUCCAACUUCCUAGUCGGAUUGCUCUUCCCCUCUGCUGCUCACUAUUUAGGAGCCUACGUUUUUAUUAUCUUCACCGGCUUCCUCAUUACCUUCUUGGCUUUUACCUUCUUCAAAGUCCCUGAGACCCGUGGCAGGACUUUUGAGGAUAUCACACGGGCCUUUGAAGGGCAGGCACACGGUGCAGAUAGAUCUGGAAAGGACGGCGUCAUGGAGAUGAACAGCAUCGAGCCUGCUAAGGAGACCACCACCAAUGUCUAAGUCGUGCCUCCUUCCACCUCCCUCCCGGCAUGGGAAAGCCACCUCUCCCUCAACAAGGGAGAGACCUCAUCAGGAUGAACCCAGGACUGCUUCUGAAUGCUGCUACUUGCAUCCCACGCACUCCAUGAGCACCCCAAGGCUGCGGUUUGUUGGAUCUUCAAUGGCUUUUUAAAUAUUUUAUUUCCUGGACAUGCUCUUCUGCUUAGGAGAGACCGAGUGAACCUACCUUCAUUUCAGGAGGGAUUGGCCACUUGGCACAUGACAACUUUGCCAGCUUUUCCUCCCUUGGGUUCUGAUAUUGCCGCACUAGGGGAUAUAGGAGAGGAAAAGUAAGG